GGGUUGUGAGGUUAAGCGACUAAGCGUACACGGUGGAUGCCCUGGCAGUCAGAGGCGAUGAAGGACGUGCUAAUCUGCGAUAAGCGUCGGUAAGGUGAUAUGAACCGUUAUAACCGGCGAUUUCCGAAUGGGGAAACCCAGUGUGAUUCGUCACACUAUCAUUAACUGAAUCCAUAGGUUAAUGAGGCGAACCGGGGGAACUGAAACAUCUAAGUACCCCGAGGAAAAGAAAUCAACCGAGAUUCCCCCAGUAGCGGCGAGCGAACGGGGAGCAGCCCAGAGCCUGAAUCAGUGUGUGUGUUAGUGGAAGCGUCUGGAAAGGCGCGCGAUACAGGGUGACAGCCCCGUACACAAAAAUGCACAUAUUGUGAGCUCGAUGAGUAGGGCGGGACACGUGGUAUCCUGUCUGAAUAUGGGGGGACCAUCCUCCAAGGCUAAAUACUCCUGACUGACCGAUAGUGAACCAGUACCGUGAGGGAAAGGCGAAAAGAACCCCGGCGAGGGGAGUGAAAAAGAACCUGAAACCGUGUACGUACAAGCAGUGGGAGCACGCUUAGGCGUGUGACUGCGUACCUUUUGUAUAAUGGGUCAGCGACUUAUAUUCUGUAGCAAGGUUAACCGAAUAGGGGAGCCGAAGGGAAACCGAGUCUUAACUGGGCGUUAAGUUGCAGGGUAUAGACCCGAAACCCGGUGAUCUAGCCAUGGGCAGGUUGAAGGUUGGGUAACACUAACUGGAGGACCGAACCGACUAAUGUUGAAAAAUUAGCGGAUGACUUGUGGCUGGGGGUGAAAGGCCAAUCAAACCGGGAGAUAGCUGGUUCUCCCCGAAAGCUAUUUAGGUAGCGCCUCGUGAAUUCAUCUCCGGGGGUAGAGCACUGUUUCGGCAAGGGGGUCAUCCCGACUUACCAACCCGAUGCAAACUGCGAAUACCGGAGAAUGUUAUCACGGGAGACACACGGCGGGUGCUAACGUCCGUCGUGAAGAGGGAAACAACCCAGACCGCCAGCUAAGGUCCCAAAGUCAUGGUUAAGUGGGAAACGAUGUGGGAAGGCCCAGACAGCCAGGAUGUUGGCUUAGAAGCAGCCAUCAUUUAAAGAAAGCGUAAUAGCUCACUGGUCGAGUCGGCCUGCGCGGAAGAUGUAACGGGGCUAAACCAUGCACCGAAGCUGCGGCAGCGACGCUUAUGCGUUGUUGGGUAGGGGAGCGUUCUGUAAGCCUGCGAAGGUGUGCUGUGAGGCAUGCUGGAGGUAUCAGAAGUGCGAAUGCUGACAUAAGUAACGAUAAAGCGGGUGAAAAGCCCGCUCGCCGGAAGACCAAGGGUUCCUGUCCAACGUUAAUCGGGGCAGGGUGAGUCGACCCCUAAGGCGAGGCCGAAAGGCGUAGUCGAUGGGAAACAGGUUAAUAUUCCUGUACUUGGUGUUACUGCGAAGGGGGGACGGAGAAGGCUAUGUUGGCCGGGCGACGGUUGUCCCGGUUUAAGCGUGUAGGCUGGUUUUCCAGGCAAAUCCGGAAAAUCAAGGCUGAGGCGUGAUGACGAGGCACUACGGUGCUGAAGCAACAAAUGCCCUGCUUCCAGGAAAAGCCUCUAAGCAUCAGGUAACAUCAAAUCGUACCCCAAACCGACACAGGUGGUCAGGUAGAGAAUACCAAGGCGCUUGAGAGAACUCGGGUGAAGGAACUAGGCAAAAUGGUGCCGUAACUUCGGGAGAAGGCACGCUGAUAUGUAGGUGAAGUCCCUUGCGGAUGGAGCUGAAAUCAGUCGAAGAUACCAGCUGGCUGCAACUGUUUAUUAAAAACACAGCACUGUGCAAACACGAAAGUGGACGUAUACGGUGUGACGCCUGCCCGGUGCCGGAAGGUUAAUUGAUGGGGUCAGCGCAAGCGAAGCUCUUGAUCGAAGCCCCGGUAAACGGCGGCCGUAACUAUAACGGUCCUAAGGUAGCGAAAUUCCUUGUCGGGUAAGUUCCGACCUGCACGAAUGGCGUAAUGAUGGCCAGGCUGUCUCCACCCGAGACUCAGUGAAAUUGAACUCGCUGUGAAGAUGCAGUGUACCCGCGGCAAGACGGAAAGACCCCGUGAACCUUUACUAUAGCUUGACACUGAACAUUGAGCCUUGAUGUGUAGGAUAGGUGGGAGGCUUUGAAGUGUGGACGCCAGUCUGCAUGGAGCCGGCCUUGAAAUACCACCCUUUAAUGUUUGAUGUUCUAACGUGGACCCGUGAUCCGGGUUGCGGACAGUGUCUGGUGGGUAGUUUGACUGGGGCGGUCUCCUCCUAAAGAGUAACGGAGGAGCACGAAGGUUGGCUAAUCCUGGUCGGACAUCAGGAGGUUAGUGCAAUGGCAUAAGCCAGCUUGACUGCGAGCGUGACGGCGCGAGCAGGUGCGAAAGCAGGUCAUAGUGAUCCGGUGGUUCUGAAUGGAAGGGCCAUCGCUCAACGGAUAAAAGGUACUCCGGGGAUAACAGGCUGAUACCGCCCAAGAGUUCAUAUCGACGGCGGUGUUUGGCACCUCGAUGUCGGCUCAUCACAUCCUGGGGCUGAAGUAGGUCCCAAGGGUAUGGCUGUUCGCCAUUUAAAGUGGUACGCGAGCUGGGUUUAGAACGUCGUGAGACAGUUCGGUCCCUAUCUGCCGUGGGCGCUGGAGAACUGAGGGGGGCUGCUCCUAGUACGAGAGGACCGGAGUGGACGCAUCACUGGUGUUCGGGUUGUCAUGCCAAUGGCACUGCCCGGUAGCUAAAUGCGGAAGAGAUAAGUGCUGAAAGCAUCUAAGCACGAAACUUGCCCCGAGAUGAGUUCUCCCUGACCCUUUAAGGGUCCUGAAGGAACGUUGAAGACGACGACGUUGAUAGGCCGGGUGUGUAAGCGCAGCGAUGCGUUGAGCUAACCGGUACUAAUGAACCGUGAGGCUUAACCUUACAACGCCGAAG
rnacentral:rRNA from 1 species